rnacentral:rRNA from 1 species
GACGAACGCUGACGGCGUGCUUAACACAUGCAAGUCGAAGGGGGUGGCGAACGGGUAAGUAAGACGUGAGUAACCUGCCCUUUUCUUUGGUAUAAGCCUGGGAAACUGGGUCUAAUACUUGAUGGAUUGGGAUGUGCUCGCGGCUUAUGAGCUUGUUGGUGGGGUGAUGGCUUAUCAAGGCGUUGACGGGUAGCCGGCCUGAGAGGGUGCACGGUAACACUGGGACGGGGAUGAGGCCCAGACUCGUACGGGAGGCAGCAGUGGGGGAUAUUGGACAAUGGACGAAAGACUGAUGCAGCGACGGCGUGUAGGGGAUGAAGGCCUUCGGGUUGUUUACUCCUUUCGCCAGCGGAAUGGUAGUGAGUAAAGAAGCGCCGGCUAACUACGUGCCAGCAGCCGCGGUAAUUC